UUUAAGUUCAUUUUUUCAUUUUACUAAAAAAUUGCACUUCAAGAUCUGUUUGAGUAACAGGAACUGUUUAAGUCAUGUUUGGUACUGAAUAAGCGGAAAUUAAUUAAAAAGCAAAGCUGCAGUUUCCAUCAAAUGGUAUUUAAUUGUUUCAGUAACACCUGCCAGUAUGGUUCUGUGGCUAUCAUUUCCUUUAAUUUAGAAAAAGUUUAGCUUGCACUUUCUUUCUGGCUGCAUUAUUAUUUAGUCUGCAUUUUCCUUCCAUCAUUGUUCUGUUAGUUUAAAAUUUACAUUUCAUGCGGUGAUAUGUUAGGCCCAUCUCUGGGUAGUGCAGCCUGUCCAUUUUAAUUAGUUGCAUGGAAGCAGGUGUGUAAACUAACUGAGUCGAAUUGAGCUUUGAAGAUCUAAUUCUUGGCUCAUUAAAAUUUUUUUGAGCCGACUAUCAGUAAGCUCAAGUUUGGCUCGUUUUCUUGUGUCAAGUGAGUUUUUAUCUAACCAAGCCUUGGGCUGCUCAUUUAUAACCUAGUGAAUUUUAAAUUUAAGAUUAUGAAGUUCAAAAUUACGUAGUUUUGAUUAAAUUUAAGAUAAUAAGUUUAAACCUAAAUGAUUUUAGUUAAAUGAGCAACCUCGCAAGCCUUUUUACAAGCCGGCUCAUGAACUUAUUAAACAAGUCAAUUCGUGAGUCUUAGUGAGUUGAAUAUCAAAAAACUAAAUAACAAGUCUAAAAAUUACACUUGAGCUCAGCUUAAUUAGAAAAUGAACUGGGUCAAGUUGAGCUUUUAUUGAGCCGAACCUUGAAUAGCACUCAAGUAGCUCAGUUCAUUUACAUCCCUACAUGGAAGAUCCAAUCUAUCAGUUGAUGUAGUUUGCCUAUUUUGCUUGCCACUUAGAAUAUUUACUAAACAACAAAUCUUAAUGUAAAUCUAGGAUUAUUUGAAUUUGUGUUGUAAAGAUUUGGACAAUAUUUCUCUGCUUUUUGUUCAGCACUGUUGAAUGCUUUAACUUGAAAUAGAUUUGUGGCUUGCAUUAACUGAUGGUUGUUUAAUGCAUCAAAUAUUUCUGUGACCUAAUCUUAUUACUUGUGGAUGAAUUAAAUGGGUGGCUACAAUUUAGAUUUGUAUUUUCUGCUUUCAGGCACGAAUGCAGGAGAUGAAGG
rnacentral:misc_RNA from 1 species